UGUCAAACAGGUAAAAAAAAAACAAGGGGUCUAAAAUAGUUCCUUGUGGUUAUAUCCACUGGUCGGUGACCACAGUGCAUCACAUGAAAAUUGGUUAACUAUCUGACUCAAUAUAGCUACACAAGAACUUUCCAACAGAGGUGCUCGGUCAGAAAAAAGCAUGCGGCCUGUCUGCAAACUGUAGAGAGGAGACGUGCAGUUGCAUGAUGAGAGCAUUUGACCAGAAUGUACAGAUAAGGCUUCUAGAAGUACUCCAUUUUUAAGGACACCUCACACUUCUGAUGGCCAUUAAUGGUCGUGUUGCAAACAGAAAUGCUGCUUAUUCCUCUCGUGCUGGUGUUUGCAGGAGUUUCUCAUGUUUUAUCUACAGAAACCAAGACUGUCUGUGAUGCGACCCAGUUUGCUACAUGUCAUGGGACCCUGGGAGAACCUACAUAUUUACAGUUGCUGCCAAGUGCCGUUGGACAUCAAUUACUUUGCAAGAAAAUGACUCAGAAUGGUCUUACAGGGGUUUUUAGAUUAAAAAAGAACCAGACUGUGUUCUUCAAUGAGUCCUUCACCUCACCUAUACAGGACCGAUGGCACUUUGUUGCUGCAAACGGUACAAUAAUGAUCAACCCAGCAACAAAGAGAGACUCAGGAACAUACAGAGUAGAGAUCCACAAUGAAGAAACAGGGGCGCUUGUGGCAAAUACCACAAUACAGCUGAUUAUUUUGGGUACACACAGUACUGUGAGAUCCAUUUUGACUGACAGGACCGACAACCCCAACAUGACGGAAACACGUGUUUGUGAGUAUGUCUAA
rnacentral:lncRNA from 1 species